rnacentral:rRNA from 1 species
GAUGAACGCUGGCGGCGUGCCUAACACAUGCAAGUCGAACGAUCAGACGAUGAGCUUGUUCCGUUGACGUUAGCGGCAGGCGGGAGUGUAACGCGUGGAUCAUCCCCCUAUCUUUCGGGGAAAACUCCGGAAAGCGGGUUAAUAUACGAUAUAAUAUGUUCUACGGCUGGGGGCAGGAGGGAAGGGCGGUUUUGGUGUCGGAUAUGGACGCUGCCGCGCCGCAUUAGCGAGUGGGUAGGGUAACGGCAUACCAAGGCAACGAGGCGUAGCCGAGCGGAGAGGGUGAUCGGCCACACGGGAACUGAGACACGGUCCAGACGCCUACGGGAGGCAGCAGUGGGGAAUUUUGCACAAUGGGCGAAAGCCUGACGGAGCGACGCCGCGUGGGUGAUGAAGGUCUUCGGGUCGUAAAGCUCUGUUAUUAGGGAAGAAAAGAUGUAGAAGUAACUAUGGAUGUCUUGACGGUACCUAAUCAAAAAGCCACGGCUAACUACGUG